rnacentral:lncRNA from 1 species
UGUCUUCCCUUUUCCUUUAACGUCUACACCGGUCUGUUCUUGUUUCCGGGUUCUUUUAAUUUUCCCAGUUCGUUGCUCUUCCCUUUGGCACAACAGGGCAUUUGUAUAAUAAGGUGUAUUAUAAUUUCUCGUAACUUCCUUAUUUGUCUUCAAGACCUGCGUACUUGUGGCGGGUGCUUUCUGUCCCCCAGGAACUCCGGGGGCCCCCGCCCGGCCGUGGGUGCAGCCUCACUUCCCUUGGGGUCUGGCUCCUCCUGCUUGACCACCAGCACCGCCGCCUCCCAGGCUUCAGGAGUAAUCAAGCUAAGCCUUGGGAGGUGUCCUGGGCGGGGGCUCCUCCCCGGAGGAGCGCGGCCUUGGAGAGCGACGACCAGGCCGACGCGUCCCCGCCCAAGGGGUUGUAGAAAGAGUGUUCGCGGCUCGGCAAAGAUCAAAAGCCCCGCGGGACAAAGCGUGUUCCAGCAGCCCGGGCCGUGGAGAGCGAAACCGCCCGCGCCAGCCCCGGCUCCUUCACAAGGGCUGUUGGACUCCGCGGUGGGGCCUCGACCCGGAGCCGGGCGCCUCGCGGCUCCCCACACGCCGCAGCUGCAGGCUUCGGCCGGCUCCGCGCGGGCCAAGGCGCUUCCUCCGAGCCUCCCGCGUCGCCAGAAGAUAAACGGCGUCUGCAGCUGCACCCGCGCCGGGGGGCAGAGUCCUGAAGGGCCCCCCCCCCUCCACAGGGCUCCUCGGCCACGACCACCGCGCUUCACCUCCUCCCCGGGACAGGCCCUCACCGCGGACGGCGCCUCAGGGGACUGGCUCCUCACCUCAGGACGGCGCCUCGGAGGACAGGCUCGGCACACAGGGACGGCGCCUCAGAGGCCGGGCUCCUCACACAGGGACGACGACGACUCGGAGGCCGGGCUCCUCACCUCAGGAGGGCGCCUCAGGGGACAGGCUCCUCACACAGGUACGGCCCCUCGGAGGACAGGCUCGUCACCCGGGGAUGGGGAUGGCGCCUCAGGGGACAGGCUCCUCACCGGGGACGGCGCCUCGGAGGCCGGGCCGCAGUGUCUCCUCACAACCCCGGUGACCCCGACCAGGACGCCGGCAGCCGAGAGGCUCCCCCGAGGCUCCCUCAGGGUCCCGACGGUCGAGAGUCCACGGACAAGGCCCCGCGCUGCUCCAGCGGACCCCAGCGGCCCCCGGGUCAAGGCUGCCCGGGCCUGGGCCGCGGGGGCCUGAAGCCGAUGCCCGGGCCCCCCCGCCCCCCGCCCCGGGUGUGGUUUCCUGGGCCUGGACUAGGCCGGGCCUCGGAUGCUUUGCCCCCUCAGGGUGGCGGACGCCGCUGAGCUGGUGAACGUAAAGGCGCGAAGCUUCAUUUCCGGCGGCGGCGGCGGCGGCGGGGCUGGCGACGCCCCUGGAGCCCUGGUGCCGGGGCCUCCUCGGUCCGCGCCCUCGGGGCCCCCGUGCAGCCGAGCCCGCCGCGGUGCUCUCCGCCUCCGACCGGGCCGGUGCCAGUGUCCCGCGGGCGCUGCGGAGGCCGCCGGGGUUACGCCGGGAGGAGCCUCGCUUAACACCACGGGCUCGUCCUCUUGCUGCGCGUCGGGGGUCCGCGGCCGGGGCGGGGGGGGGGGGGGGGGGCAGCCCGGGAGCGGCCGGCUGCGCCUCCCCACAGGACACGGGCCAUCGGGGAUGGGUUUGCGGUGAACAGUUUUCUUGGCCUGAACGUCCAAGGUCUGUCACGCAGACGCCAACACGGGAUUCUUGCCGCGUGGGGGCCGUGGGCACAUCAUCGCAGGUUCCUUCAGGCCGCUCGCGUGGCGGAAGCUGUUCUCUCCGUUGUUAACACCCGCCCUGGGAUCCCCGGGUGGCUCAGCGGUUUAGCACCACCUUCGGCCCAGGGUGCGAUCCGGGAGGCCCGGGAUCGAGUCCCACGUCGGGCUCCCUGCAUGGAGCCUGCUCCUCCCUCUGCCUCUCUCUCUCUCUCUAUCAUGAAUAAAUAAAUAAAAUAUUGAAAAAGAACA